AUAUAUGGUCAUACCACCCUGAAUGUGCCUGAUCUCGUCUGAUCUCAGAAGCUAAACAGGAUCGGGCCUGUUUAGUACUUGGAUGGGAAACCACCUGCAAAUAGUGGGUGCUGUAGGCU
ensembl:rRNA LOC120097639 5S ribosomal RNA